AAGCUUAUGUAUGGAUUUUUUUCCUUAAUGAAGGAUAUGGUAAUAGAAAAUAGUAAGUGUUGUUCUGGCAUAUGUACCUGCGCAUUUUUCAAGGAUAAUCGUAGUUCUUUACCAAAUCAUUCAUGUGAUUUCAUUUUUAGCUUCAAGUAUUAAAGGAAAGGGCGAAUGUAAAGAAAUAGGAUUGUGCUUUUACUUGUUGUGGCAUGCAAUGUAAAGAAAUAGGUGAUAAUAUUGUAUUUCUUCCUUCCAUACUUGGAUCUAGGUAGAUUAUCUAUGUUCCAUUGGAUGAAGCAUGAGAUUCUAUGUUGAUAUUAUUUUUGGCCUACAUGACUACACCUCUAUAAAUUUAUGAACUAGCAUUGGAUAUUUAAUAAGAGGUCACCAUUUGAAGAUCUAUCAUUAAUUGCAAAUAACAGUUGUUUUGGUUGGAUGAAAUGAGUUUCUUUUGAUGAGGCUCCAUUUUAUUUUGCAUCACAUGUUACUAAAUGACUUAAGAAUUUAGUGAGGCUUUGUUUGGAGUCUGGCCAAACAUGAUUUAUUACUAUUGCAUAACAAUAGAUAUAAAUUUUAUUCUUGUGUUCUGCAGCUGGUGUUCUGUGCUCCAUUUGGUUCAUCUAACUCUUCAUGAACCGUCUCUAUACUCAUGCAUGUACCUCGAUGUUAAUUUUUUUAACAAGUUGUUGAAGAAGGCAGAUGGUUCUAGGCUUCUCGUUGCAUCCUACACUCCCUGUCCGGGGAAUCAAUAGAAAGGGUUCGCCCACCUUUUGAGAUCGCUCUAGAGAAACUGAAAGGAUCCGUAGAAUCAGAAGCAUCAAAGAAGUCCAGUUGGGGCGGGGGAUAAAGCGUCGGGAGAUUUGAAAAGAAGGAGAAGCAAGGAAACAUGAAUCAAUAGAUCAGUUGGUGUUACAAGAGGUAAUCUAAGAAGUUGAUCUACGAACAGAGGAAGGCUAGUCUUGUUGAAAGGCCCAAACGCACACAACAACUCUGCUGGUGCUGGCAUCUAUGAAAAGGGAUGCUGAAUAACCUUGUUGUCUUCUAUCCUUCCCAUGGGAGGGCUACUGAUUGAUAUAGAUUGUUGUGUUUAUUUGUAGAAUAAAAACUGAAACUCCUGAUGUUGGAUUUGUAUUUGUCAUAGGGUUUUCUAUCUUGGUCCGCCUUUUUCAUUCCAUAUAUAUGAUGUCUACUACGCAACUUUAUUCUUGUAGACUCGUGUUGGGCCUCCAAGCAUAGAGUUUUGUAGGACAAUAGCAA